GAUCCAUGAAAUGAGGUCAAGGUCAAAUAAAACCUGCGUGACUGCCAAAUAGAUCAUAAAAUAUUUCCAUACACCAAAUAUAGUUGAACUAUUGCAUACAGUAUAAGAAAAACAGACCAAAACACAAAAACUUAACUAUAACCACUGAACCAUGAAAAUGAGGUCAAGGUCAGAUGACACCUGCCAGUUGGACAUGUACACCUUACAGUCCUUCCAUACACCGAAUAUACUAGACCUAUUGCUUAUAGUAUCUGAGAUAUGGACUUGACCACCAAAACUUAACCUUGUUCACUGAUCCAUGAAAUGAGGUCGAGGUCAAGUGAAAACUGUCUGACGGGCAUGAGGACC